rnacentral:rRNA from 1 species
UGAGUGCGAGUUGCUACGGCAGCGAAGUUGGUGACGUCAUGCUUCCAAGAAAAGCCCUAUACCCGUUAAGGCAUCAUGGCCUGUACCCGAAACCGACACAGGUGGGGUGGUAGAGAAUACCGAGGGGCGCGAGGUAACUCUCUCUAAGGAACUCGGCAAAAUGGCCCCGUAACUUCGGGAGAAGGGGUGCCACCGCAAGGUGGUCGCAGUGAAGAGGCCCAGGCGACUGUUUACCAAAAACACAGGUCUCCGCUAAGUCGCAAGACGAUGUAUGGGGGCUGACGCCUGCCCAGUGCCGGAAGGUUAAGGAAGCUGGUCAGCGCAAGCGAAGCUAGCGACUGAAGCCCCGGUGAACGGCGGCCGUAACUAUAACGGUCCUAAGGUAGCGAAAUUCCUUGUCGGGUAAGUUCCGACCCGCACGAAAGGCGUAACGAUCUGGGCGCUGUCUCGGAGAGAGGCUCGGCGAAAUAGAAUUGUCUGUGAAGAUGCGGACUACGUGCACCCGGACAGAAAGACCCUAUGAAGCUUUACUGUAGCUUGGUAUUGUGCCCGGGCUCGCAAUGCGCAGGAUAGGUGGGAGGCUUUGAUCAUCGGCUUGCGGGUCGAUGUGAGCCAACGGUGAGAUACCACUCUUUGCGAGCUAGGGUUCUAACGGCCACCCGUCAUCCGGGGGCCGGACAGUACCUGGUGGGCAGUUUGACUGGGGCGGUCGCCUCCUAAAAGGUAACGGAGGCGCGCAAAGGUUUGCUCAGGCUGGUUGGAAAUCAGCCGACGAGUGUAAAAGCAGAAGCAAGCUUGACUGUGAGACCAACAAGUCGAACAGGGAGGAAACUCGGCUUUAGUGAUCCGACGGUUCUGAGUGGAAGGGCCGUCGCUCAACGGAUAAAAGUUACUCUAGGGAUAACAGGCUGAUCUCCCCCAAGAGUUCACAUCGACGGGGAGGUUUGGCACCUCGAUGUCGGCUCAUCGCAACCUGGGGCUGAAGUCGGUCCCAAGGGUUGGGCUGUUCGCCCAUUAAAGCGGUACGCGAGCUGGGUUCAGAACGUCGUGAGACAGUUCAGUCCAUAUCCGGUGCACACGCAGGAAUAUUGAGAGGAUUUCUCCCUAGUACGAGAGGACCGGGAGGAACGCACCUCUGGUGUACCAGUUAUCGUGCCAACGGUAAACGCUGGGUAGCCAUGUGCGGAGUGGAUAACCGCUGAAAGCAUCUAAGUGGGAAGCCCACCUCAAGAUGAGUAUUCCCAUGGCGUAAGCCAGUAAGGUCACGGGAAGAACACCCGUUGAUAGGCUCUAUGUGGAAGCGCAGUAAUGCGUGAAGCAGAGGAGUACUAAUAGACCGAGGGCUUGACC